rnacentral:lncRNA from 1 species
CGGGGCUAGCGCGUGUGAGCAUUGUGGGGAAGUGGGGCGACUACGCCACGAGCACGGGAGCGAGCAUGUGUGCUGGGCAGGGCGAGCUGUGGAACUGGAGCGGCCAACCCCAGCUGAACGUCUGUGAAGAAUUUCUUCAGAGUUGCGCCCGGUCCAUGGAGAGCAUGAUGAUGGCAAGCCACGAACGGCGUCUAUAGUGAGCUAGCGACGGGAAAAAGGAUGGGGAUGGAGGCGCUGCUCACCCAGUAUCUUCUUGUACAUGAAGAUGAGGCCGGAGUAGGGUCGGGGACGACAGAGGGCAACGGCUCUUUGAGUCUGCAAAGCGGAGGAAGAAGAAGAAUGCUGUGGCGUUGAUCUGGCCCUUUGCAACCCUCUGGACGUUGAAGAAAACAAGGAUGCAGCGGAGGAAGCUUCCCGCGGCACCAGAACAUCGGAGGCGAGGCGGGGAGGUCACCCCGAGCGCAAGCAGAGGCUAGGCCGGAGCAUGGCAGGCAUGGCGAUGACUAGGGUGUGGGAGAGGCUUACCGGCGGUAGUGGGGUGAGGAGAGGGAAGGAAAGGAUUGU